AAUUCAAUUGAUAGCAUGUUGAAUGCACCAGUUCUCAAUGGAUUACUGAAGUUAAGCAACAUUUUAGACUUGUGCACAGUUGGUAUCUGAAUGGGUAGCCAUCUGGACAGUCAUAUGCUGCUGGCUUU
rnacentral:rRNA from 1 species